AGUGAACGCUGGCGGUAUGCCUAACACAUGCAAGUCGAACGGCAACACAGUAAGAGCUUGCUCUUACGGGUGGCGAGUGGCGGACGGGUGAGGAAUACAUCGGAAUCUACUUUUUCGUGGGGGAUUACGUAGGGAAACUUACGCUAAUACCGAAUAUGAUCUACGGGUGAAAGCAGGGGAUCUUCGGACCUUUCGCGAUUGAAUGAGCCGAUGUCGGAUUAGCUAGUUGGCGGGGUAAAGGCACACCAAGGCAACGAUCCGUAGCUGGUCUGAGAGGAUGAUCAGCCACACUGGAACUGAGACACGGUCCAGACUCCUACGGGAGGCAGCAGUGGGGAAUAUUGGACAAUGGGCGAAAGCCUGAUCCAGCAAUACCGCGUGGGUGAAGAAGGCCUUCGGGUUGUAAAGCCCUUUUAUUGGGAAAGAAAAGCAGCAGAUUAAUACCCCGCUGUUCUGACGGUACCUAAAGAAUAAGCAACGGCUAACUUCGUG
rnacentral:rRNA from 1 species